UCAGUUUAUUCCACCUUUGAUCCCUGUGUGCCGGUUGCCAAUUUUCCCCCUUGCUCCUUAUCGUGAAGCUGCCAAGGAGCACAGCAGAACUGACACAGCGAGGCACAGAGAUCCUGUGGGAACGGCUGAGAAUUGACAAGUGACGGCAGAACAAGUGGCAGUGACCAGGUUUUGACCCUGAGAUCUGAUUCCACAUUUAAAGUUCCUUGAGAUGAUGCAGGAAUAAACAGAUGGAGCCACUCUGGGUUCUCCCCUAGUCCUGGGGGAUCCACAGUGUUCAUUUGGAGUUUUCUUUUUCAUUGAAAAGGACACAUCGCCUUCUCCCAGAUAACUGUUUCUUUAAAUUAUGUGCAGUCUCUCUGCAAGACAUGCCGCUUUGCUCUGUAAUUACACAGGAAGCUGGAACAGAAGAAUUUCUAUGGUUAUGUUUAGCAACCUUAUCAAAACUACAAUGGGAAAGGGAACCAGUAUUGUUUUCCAGACUGGCUCUGCUUACCACACUAAUACUUGACAGAGAACAGGUAUGAUUGUUGCGUUGCCUCAAAGCAUUCGAGAAUAUGGGAUCUGCCAUACUGGUUCCAACCCAGCCUGUAUCUCAAGGGUGCCCAGCAGGAACCAUCAUGCAGAGACAGCACAGGAAGGUGGGAGAAACUAAGUGCUUUACAUUGAUCACUAUUUCAGAACAUAAAGUCAUCAGCACAAAGCCAGUGCUCCUGACAAGUGAAGAAAUGCUACAGUUUACCCACAAUUUAAAUGGAGCAUGGUGACGCAGAGAGGAUCAGCAACUCAUACGGUGGCAUGUGGUGACUCAGGGAGCUGAACAUGGGAUAGA